rnacentral:lncRNA from 1 species
GCUGGGCAAGGUGCAUUUGCAAAGAGUGAGAAGUGAGUGCAGAAACAUCAUAUUAUAUCCUUUUAGCAUGAAUCGUCCUUAGAGCUACAGAAAGAAAACCCUAGGAACGGUGGUCGCCACACACUUGAAUUCACAGAGUAAGACAUCUUUUAUGGAUACAUACAUUAAUUUAUCUGGGAGUCACAGGGUUGUCAACCUUUUAUUUUCCAAAUAAGGACAUUAAAAAAAAAAACCAAACUCUGUCAUCUACUACCAUUUCAUAAGAGAAAAGUCACUUUAAAGCUAAAAAGAGGAAGGACACAAUAUCAGGAUAAAGAACAACCUUCUGAAUGGAAUAGAUUUAGCUUCGGUAAAAACUCACUCUAUUGCGUUUAUCUCUAAUUUUUGCCUCAGCCUGACGGAAACUAAGUCACGGAUCAGCACUGCCCGUGAACUAUUGCCAGACAGUCUCUGAAUGUGAAGCCUUUUGGAAGCCAAACUUGCGUCUUAGAACUUUGGCUCACUCACGAGACCUGAGGGAACUCUUGGAAGAAAAUGCCCUGAAAAGAGAAGCCCAGAACAGAUAUGACUUGUGGUUGGCACUCGCACAAGUAUUGGUUGACUGACACACUGAGGUCAUUAGGUAACAGUGAACACUCUGAUGCGAAGGAUAAAACAGACAGGGAUUCAAUCACAGCCCUCAGCACAUCUGCAGCCUAGCAGAGAAGAGAAGCCACAUCUCUACAGACAUGUCCUGGCAGUGAAGACUCUGCCUCAGGUGUGAUCAGUGAAGUAUGUCUACACUAUGAUUUUAGGUCAUUGACUUUUCCUGAUUAUUCAUUUUGGUAGUACAAUUAUAUGUAGGCUUCACUUUCCAUAGGAGGUAUACUUUAUAAUGUCUUUAGAUGGCAACCUCUAGGGAUAAACUGCAAGCUUUCUUUCUUUCCUUUGUUAACCUUAAACAAAUAGACAGAUAGUUCUCCAGCAAAAACGGAUUUAAUUAGGAUCAGCACAGAAUUGCAACUUGGU